AUUGAACGCUGGCGGCAUGCCUUACACAUGCAAGUCGAACGGUAACGGGUCCUUCGGGAUGCCGACGAGUGGCGAACGGGUGAGUAAUAUAUCGGAACGUGCCCAGUAGUGGGGGAUAACUGCUCGAAAGAGCAGCUAAUACCGCAUACGACCUGAGGGUGAAAGGGGGGGAUCGCAAGACCUCUCGCUGUUGGAGCGGCCGAUAUCAGAUUAGCUAGUUGGUGGGGUAAAGGCCUACCAAGGCAACGAUCUGUAGUUGGUCUGAGAGGACGACCAGCCACACUGGGACUGAGACACGGCCCAGACUCCUACGGGAGGCAGCAGUGGGGAAUUUUGGACAAUGGGCGCAAGCCUGAUCCAGCAAUGCCGCGUGCAGGAAGAAGGCCUUCGGGUUGUAAACUGCUUUUGUCAGGGAAGAAAUCUUCUGGGCUAAUACCCCGGGAGGAUGACGGUACCUGAAGAAUAAGCACCGGCUAACUACGUGCCAGCAGCCGCGGUAAUACGUAGGGUGCGAGCGUUAAUCGGAAUUACUGGGCGUAAAGCGUGCGCAGGCGGCUUUGCAAGACAGAUGUGAAAUCCCCGGGCUCAACCCUGGGAACUGCAUUUGUGACUGCAAGGCUAGAGUACGGCAGAGGGGGAUGGAAUUCCGCGUGUAGCAGUGAAAUGCGUAGAUAUGCGGAGGAACACCAAUGGCGAAGGCAAUCCCCUGGGCCUGUACUGACGCUCAUGCACGAAAGCGUGGGGAGCAAACAGGAUUAGAUACCCUGGUAGUCCACGCCCUAAACGAUGUCAACUGGUUGUUGGACGGCUUGCUGUUCAGUAACGAAGCUAACGCGUGAAGUUGACCGCCUGGGGAGUACGGCCGCAAGGUUGAAACUCAAAGGAACUGACGGGGACCCGCACAAGCGGUGGAUGAUGUGGUGUAAUUCGAUGCAACGCGAAAAACCUUACCUACCCUUGACAUGUCAAGAAUUCUGCAGAGAUGUGGAAGUGCUCGAAAGAGAACUUGAACACAGGUGCUGCAUGGCCGUCGUCAGCUCGUGUCGUGAGAUGUUGGGUUAAGUCCCGCAACGAGCGCAACCCUUGUCAUUAGUUGCUACGCAAGAGCACUCUAAUGAGACUGCCGGUGACAAACCGGAGGAAGGUGGGGAUGACGUCAGGUCCUCAUGGCCCUUAUGGGUAGGGCUACACACGUCAUACAAUGGCCGGUACAGAGGGCUGCCAACCCGCGAGGGGGAGCCAAUCCCAGAAAACCGGUCGUAGUCCGGAUCGUAGUCUGCAACUCGACUGCGUGAAGUCGGAAUCGCUAGUAAUCGCGGAUCAGCUUGCCGCGGUGAAUACGUUCCCGGGUCU
rnacentral:rRNA from 1 species